rnacentral:misc_RNA from 1 species
GAUGAAGAACGUAGCGAAAUGCGAUAAGUAAUGUGAAUUGCAGAAUUCAGUGAAUCAUCGAAUCUUUGAACGCACAUUGCGCCCGCCAGUAUUCUGGCGGGCAUGCCUGUUCGAGAGUCAUUACAACCCUCAGGCCCCCGGGCCUGGCGUUGGGGAUCGGCGGAAGCCCCCUGCGGGCACAACGCCGUCCCCCAAAUACAGUGGCGGUCCCGCCGCAGCUUCCAUUGCGUAGUAGCUAACACCUCGCAACUGGAGAGCGGCGCGGCCACGCCGUAAAACACCCAACUUCUGAAUGUUGACCUCGAAUCAGGUAGGAAUACCCGCUGAACUUAAGCAUAUCAAUAAGCGGAGGA